AUACAUGCAAGUCGAGCGAACAGAUAAGGAGCUUGCUCCUUUGACGUUAGCGGCGGACGGGUGAGUAACACGUGGGUAACCUACCUAUAAGACUGGGAUAACUUCGGGAAACCGGAGCUAAUACCGGAUAACAUUUGGAACCGCAUGGUUCUAAAGUGAAAGAUGGUUUUGCUAUCACUUAUAGAUGGACCCGCGCCGUAUUAGCUAGUUGGUAAGGUAACGGCUUACCAAGGCGACGAUACGUAGCCGACCUGAGAGGGUGAUCGGCCACACUGGAACUGAGACACGGUCCAGACUCCUACGGGAGGCAGCAGUAGGGAAUCUUCCGCAAUGGGCGAAAGCCUGACGGAGCAACGCCGCGUGAGUGAUGAAGGGUUUCGGCUCGUAAAACUCUGUUAUUAGGGAAGAACAAAUGUGUAAGUAACUGUGCACGUCUUGACGGUACCUAAUCAGAAAGCCACGGCUAACUACGUGCCAGCAGCCGCGGUAAUACGUAGGUGGCAAGCGUUAUCCGGAAUUAUUGGGCGUAAAGCGCGCGUAGGCGGUUUCUUAAGUCUGAUGUGAAAGCCCACGGCUCAACCGUGGAGGGUCAUUGGAAACUGGGAAACUUGAGUGCAGAAGAGGAAAGUGGAAUUCCAUGUGUAGCGGUGAAAUGCGCAGAGAUAUGGAGGAACACCAGUGGCGAAGGCGACUUUCUGGUCUGUAACUGACGCUGAUGUGCGAAAGCGUGGGGAUCAAACAGGAUUAGAUACCCUGGUAGUCCACGCCGUAAACGAUGAGUGCUAAGUGUUAGGGGGUUUCCGCCCCUUAGUGCUGCAGCUAACGCAUUAAGCACUCCGCCUGGGGAGUACGACCGCAAGGUUGAAACUCAAAGGAAUUGACGGGGACCCGCACAAGCGGUGGAGCAUGUGGUUUAAUUCGAAGCAACGCGAAGAACCUUACCAAAUCUUGACAUCCUUUGAAAACUCUAGAGAUAGAGCUUUCCCCUUCGGGGGACAAAGUGACAGGUGGUGCAUGGUUGUCGUCAGCUCGUGUCGUGAGAUGUUGGGUUAAGUCCCGCAACGAGCGCAACCCUUAAGCUUAGUUGCCAUCAUUAAGUUGGGCACUCUAGGUUGACUGCCGGUGACAAACCGGAGGAAGGUGGGGAUGACGUCAAAUCAUCAUGCCCCUUAUGAUUUGGGCUACACACGUGCUACAAUGGACAAUACAAAGGGCAGCUAAACCGCGAGGUCAUGCAAAUCCCAUAAAGUUGUUCUCAGUUCGGAUUGUAGUCUGCAACUCGACUACAUGAAGCUGGAAUCGCUAGUAAUCGUAGAUCAGCAUGCUACGGUGAAUACGUUCCCGGGUCUUGUACACACCGCCCGUCACACCACGAGAGUUUGUAACACCCGAAGCCGGUGGAGUAACCAUUUAUGGAGCUAGCCGUCGA
rnacentral:rRNA from 1 species